ACUCAUUACAGUCAGAUUCAUUCUUCAAUAGUGGAAGGAAAACCAAGUGCCCCAGAUUUCAAUAGGUUCAGAAGCCUGGAGAUGUCUCCCUCACCCACCUCAAAAGCGAAGCUAAUGGUUUCGUGCUAAGAGGCUGGCUCAACUGUCUAGCCCUGGCAAUAUUGGGACCAGUUGAUGGAGUAAGAAGUCACGAUGGAGUCUCUCUACCAUCUCCUCCUUCUCUCCAGCCAUGGCCAGGUUUGCGGAGGAAUCCAUAACAUGCUGAUGGGGAUACAGAAGCCCUUGGAAGCUCUCCAAGAUCACAGCCAAGGGGACCAUGAACUUCCCAGGACCCCCCCGCUGGAGGAUGAUGGAAAUGACCACACUCAUGCCAGGAUGGGGUCCGAGGCGCAGGAAGCUCCUCACAGAGAAGAUUCCUUUGUGCCCAUCUCUCCUGAUGAGAGUCUUGUCCCCAGGAAGGUCAAUAUUCCGAUGAAGUAGAAGAGGAGCAGCAUGAGGAAGAGGAAGAUGAUGAAGGUGACGAGGAUGUAGAGGAAAGAGAGGAUGCAGACAGAAACAUCGUCACAGAGCCACAGUAUCCUGCAGAGGCAGAGGCAGUGCAAGGGGAUGAUGGCAGGGAACAAAUUCCAGGGAUGAAGACAGAGCCGCCAACAUGGAAUGUGAAGCAUUUCAGCUUCCAAACUUUGACACUGAAUACAGUGCUGAAGAGCAGGCUUCAGUUCCUCCUAUGACACAUGAUCCGUAUGACACGGAGCUUGAACCACUCUUCCACUUUUAAAAUGGCUAUCAGUGGGAUGCAGGAUCAUGGUCCAGAUUAACAAUACGCAGGGGGCAAUAAAAGCCUCAGGAAAGUUAACCUAACUGUUAGGUUUCUAUCGGGAUAACGGAGGCGCAAAAUGGGUGACAUGUUUAGAAGAAACUCCAAGAUGAAGAAUAAAGGGGUUUGCUUAUCUGCACUUGACAAACAUGAAGCAGGAAUCCCUUGGUGAGAUGGUAGGCUGGACCAUGCGCACUAUAGAUCUGUAAGUAGCCCCUCACCUACCCGCUGCCUUAAAUGUCUGACCACUCAAAGUGGGGGCCAAAUUAGUGUCCUCACCAGCAGAAAGUGGGGUCGAGGAGUCAAGGCACAGCCACGAGCUGGCGUGAUUCAGCUCCUGCUCCUGCCUGCUGAUCCUGUCUCAUCUUCCCUUCAGUUCAAAGUACUUAAUGGUUUGGGCAGUUCUUAGCAUGACAGAUGGACAGAUGGUUUUCACGGAGGUAGGCAGGGUGAAAAAUGUGGUUCUGAAAAGCUUCCAGAGCUUGUAUGUAAAGAUCAGACUGUGAGAGUUGUCACUGCUGGCCCGGCUAUCCCUCAGGAAAGCCAUUUCUAUGAAAACUUGUCAGAGAUUAAAGGAGGUGGUAACCAGUUAGCAGAGAACACUUUGUCUCUUCCCAGUCACAUGUGGGUAACUGGCUGUGUAACCUAGGCCCAGGCCCUUGCCCUCUCUGGUCUCCAGCCACCUCACUGACUCUACAAGGCCUCAUAGCUCCAGGGGGUGAGCAUAGACCCCUCAACACCUGGGGGCUCCUUAUUUAGGUCCUUCCUGGUGUAUCCAUAUUGAGACUGGGGCUAGACCCUCUUGAGAGCUGCACAGUGAACCUGACCACAACCCAGAUGCUGGAAACGAGAAAGCAAGAUCAGAAUAGGGAAAUGAGGUGGAGGCUGCUAUAGACGUGGCUCUUUGGUCUCCUCCAAUGUAAGCGCAGGGGAAGUGGAGAUGCUUCUUCGCCGUGUUGAAAGUUUUUCGUUGACUGGGAUCAGCACCUCCUACAAUGGUCCAAUCUCCUGCUCAGUCUUUGUCAUGCUGUUCUCCUCAGGCCUUCAUAUCUUGGAGCUGGUGGCCUUGCUGUUGUUCAUUCCAGUCAUAAGGGCUCCUCCUGGUGCUGCAAGCCAUAAAGGAUUUUACAGGUCCUGACACAGCCACCAAAGGGUCGUCUUUAUCUUCUGUUGGAGUAGGAAGCAACACCUUUAUUGAUCAGAGCACCAUGCCACCUUUAUGAUCAAGAUGAAGAGGAACGUCUCUCCAGCCCCAAGGUAUGCCUGUACCUCGUGGCUAACUGGACCCCACACUGCUCAGCCAUUUUCUGCAUGGGAUAGACAGCAGCAGCCGCAAGAACACAAACGAACAUCUGUGAUCCUCUAGCACUACAGUGCAUUCUCCUCACUCCAGGACCUCCUCAUCCUUACUAGAAACCAGUGAGG
rnacentral:lncRNA from 1 species